AAUCAAGCGCGAAAAGGGCGUUUGGUGGAUGCCUUGGCAGUAAGAGGCGAUGAAAGACGUGGUACUCUGCGAUAAGCCAUGGGGAGCUGAGAACAAGCUUUGAUCCAUGGAUCUCUGAAUGGGGGAACCCACCUGACAUUCCGUUAUUAUCAGUCUUCGGAUUGUUGAUAAUGGAGUGAAACAGGUACUUAUAACCUGAAUAUAUAGGGUUUUAAGAGCAAACCCGGGGAACUGAAACAUCUAAGUACCCGGAGGAAAGGAAAUCAAUAGAUACUCCGCUAGUAGUGGCGAGCGAACGCGGACCAGCCGAGCCAUGAGAAUGACCAGAAUGAUCUGGAAAGAUCAGCCAUAGCGGGUGACAGCCCCGUAUGGGAAGUUCGAUUGGACGUAUUAAGUAGGGCGGGACACGUGAAAUCCUGUCUGAAGAUCGGGGGACCACCCCCGAAGGCUAAGUACUCCUUACUGACCGAUAGCGAACCA
rnacentral:rRNA from 1 species